AGCAGAGUAGGAAAACGUGCGUUAAGUGCCAGCCGGACGGGGAGUUGCCGGCGGGACGAAAAGUAAGGAUUACUUGCGGUACGUUUUUCGCAUCCCGCUGCU
rnacentral:ncRNA from 21 species